CCGAACAACACAAGGAAAUCAAAAUCACUUGAAGACGAAGAAAACACAUACGCCGUCGUAUCGAGGAUCUUAGGUUUCGCUGUUGUUCCGUAUAGAGUGGAGGCGGGAGACGUAGGGAAAAACGAAACGGCGUCGUAUGANNNNNNNNNNAGGGAAAGACGAAACGGCGUCGUAUGAGUCGUUGAGUGGUUUCACAUUGAAGAUUUGGAGGAAGAGUGGUGGGCUUGUGGUGAAUGGCGUGGAGACGGAGAAGAUGGGGUUGAAGAGAGGGAAGAUAAUGGUUCAUAUC
rnacentral:lncRNA from 1 species